rnacentral:rRNA from 1 species
UACGUAGGGUGCAAGCGUUGUCCGGAAUUAUUGGGCGUAAAGAGCUUGUAGGCGGUUUGUCGCGUCUGCUGUGAAAUUUCGGGGCUCAACCCCGAACUUGCAGUGGGUACGGGCAGACUAGAGUGUGGUAGGGGAGAAUGGAAUUCCCGGUGUAGCGGUGAAAUGCGCAGAUAUCGGGAAGAACACCCGUGGCGAAGGCGGUUCUCUGGGACGGUACUGACGCUGAGACGCGAAAGCGUGGGGAGCGAACAGG